rnacentral:ncRNA from 20 species
GGCUGGGCGAGUUAAUUUGUAUUUAUUCGCUUUCACAAGUGAUUUACGACUUCUGGGUGGGAAGCC